GGGAAAAGUUCAAAGACAAAGACAAGAGAUGAAGCUCUAUGAUUCCAGAGAAGGACAUAGAGAUUAGAAGCUUGUCAACCUUCAGAGGGCCACCAGACCAACCCUCACACACGAUGAUGCAUACCUGAGGUGUCUGCCUAAAACACGCUACUAUCUGGUUCUGGAACUGCAGAAAUAGCUAAAACGACUCGGGUGUCUUCAGAGCAGCAGGGAACAGGAGGUGUUCAGGGUCUGGACAGAACAACACAGAAGCACAUGUCAACUUGAGAAGC